GCUUGUCUCAAAGAUUAAGCCAUGCAUGUCUAAGUAUAAGCAAUUAUACAGCGAAACUGCGAAUGGCUCAUUAAAUCAGUUAUCGUUUAUUUGAUCGUACCUUACUACUUGGAUAACCGUGGUAAUUCUAGAGCUAAUACAUGCUGAAAAGCCCGACUUCGGAAGGGUUGUAUUUAUUAGAUAAAAAACCAAUGCCCUUCGGGGCUCUUUGGUGAUUCAUGAUAACUUCUCAGAUCGCACGGCCUUGCGCCGGCGACGGUUCAUUCAAAUUUCUGCCCUAUCAACUUUCGAUGGUACGGUAUUGGCCUACCAUGGUUUCAACGGGUAACAGGGAAUUAGGGUUCGAUUCUGGAGAGCGAGCCUGAGAGACGGCUAGCACAUCCAAGGAAGGCAGCAGG
rnacentral:rRNA from 1 species